GCCCUUCCCGAAGUUCUUCGUCUAUCUCCGUGAGCGUUCGGCAACUUUCGGACAAAAGCUUCUCACUCUCCGGCUUCCUCCGGAAGCCUGUUGGUGAUGCUCCGGCUUUGGGAUGAAUCUGAGAUUUGGAGGCUCUUUUGGCUUUCGCCCAAUUCUCGGUACCAGGUCGGUGCUGGCGCCGACAAAUGGAGGUCCCACCGAGAUCGGAGAAGAAAGGGGGUACCACCUACGGGACGUCCCUGGAGCCCGGCCGGCAUAGGAGGAGAAGGGACGGAUUGGACGUAAGAUGGGUCAGGAAAGGCCUGGAUGAUUUGGGCUAGCCUGAGUAAAACUUGUCAUAAAAAAGGGACAAGGUAACGGUAAAGUGUUUUUGCAUAUGCGUUCUGUUAGAGUUAUAUUUUAGUCUUUGGACCCUGGCUAGAGAUAGUUUACACCCUAGACAUGAGAGAGAACGGGUUGGGGAAAAACAGUCCUCCCGGACUCUCCACGGUUGCUUUGGAGAAAGAAAAACCUUUUCAGAGCUCUCCUAGGAACAGAGGGAAAGCAGGAGACGUCCUGCCUCUCUGCUGGCUCCUAUUGGAGAAAUGUUUAUUUCUGGUUCUGGGUUCCAUAGGUAGGAUAUGUGGGUCCCUUCGGUGGGACACCAUCUAGUUUUUUCCCUUUAUGUCUAUUGUCUGUCCUUGGUGCACCAAGCUGUCCAUGUCUGUCAGUUUAUGUCUGUGGUUUCUGUUUCUCGUUGUUUAAAUGUUUUAUGUUUCAUGUUCAAAAGAAAAAAAAAAUGGUAAAAACUUUAUCUGUCAAUCGUUCACAUCUUGAUUUGGUUUUAACUCGUUUCAAAAAGGAACAAAUGAAUAAAAAGCAGUUUCAAUUGGCCUUUGGAGCCCUGCACCUGUAGCUUGGAGCAUAGGUCAGCUGGAGAAGCUGCCCGGGGGCUAACCGUCCCCAGGAACUGAUCUUAAAGGCUCUAGCAGCUCCUUGGCUUCUUUGGUACAGGAGCUGAUGGCUGUUUCUCUUAGAAAAAUCCCUGACUUAUUAUUAGACUUAGCAGGUGACAAGGUGCUUCUCUUAAAAUCAUAGCUAGAAAAGUAAAAAUGGUGCUUGGUCUAAAUAUUAAAGAUAGGUGUAGCCACUUCAAUUUUGUUUCUGAUUGGUUUUAAAUGUAUAAAUAUGCUCUAUAUGCCUUGGUUAUGGACUAUUGGCUUUUAGGUUAUUGGAUAUGGUUAAAAAAGUAUAAUAUUGGUAACAGAAAGUUGGCUUAAAACUGUUAUUUGGAUGAAGUCAUUCUAGACAACAUGUGGCAUGAGCCAACCUAGGGAAACAGGUCUAAAUUGAGAUAAUAUUUUUAUGGAAUUCGUACUCUAGAAACCAGGCUUCUAAAAGAUUUUAGGGCAAUGUCUCUUUGUUGAGGUAUUGGAGACUGCACCAUCGUGCGUUCAUAUGUAGGAAUUGGCAGUCAAACUUUGUAGCAUGAAGGAUAGACUCUUUGGAGACUAGAUUUUGGAGACUAGUUUGUUAGAGGUUAAGUUUUGCUUUCCAUAGUUGUGGUUUGCCCUGAAGUUAUCUGUAUUUUAAUGCUAAUUCCACUGCCCCAAGGACAGCUGCCUAGUCACUACUCAGAACUCAGGCGACCUUGUGGUUGUGCUCUGGUGUUACAAGGAGAACGUAAGGAUUGUGCUUAAGGAUUGCCAGUGGUGCAUUGACUAACUCAAACUUAUUUAUAAUUGAGAAAAAAAAAUCAAACAGGUAGAGAUUGUUACAAGAUUUAAGAAGGAUUGAUGAGGUUUUAGAACUUGGGAGAGCAUUACAGCUUGUUUGCUUACUUCAACUGCCAUUUCAAGAUAGAUUUAGAGGAUUGUUUUUAUGCAGUUUGUUUACAUCCUGGCAAUUGUGAGUUUUUAUUUUGUGAGCUUGCUUAUAAUUUUAGAGAGCCCAUGAAGUGAUAUCAUUAAAAAUUUUUACAAAAGAGUGGCUAAUAGCCUUAUGUAAUUUUGUUGCUUCUUCAUUGUAAGAAGUUAGAACUUAAAUCUUUCAAUGUAUAUGGGAAUUUUUACUACAAACCUUUGCUCUCAAAAUGAGCUUUAAUAUUUGGGGAGUAGCUGUUACACUACUCCAGAAAAGAAUAUUUGAAGCUAAUUUUAAGCUUCUAAGGAUAUGUUAAUUGGCUAAGUACCUCACCCUACCAGAGGACUUAGGUCUUUGUUAUGCACAUUGGAGAUAAAGCUUCAGCUGUGUUAGUACAGAGUUGUGGACUGGAGUCAUAAAAGUAUUUUAAAUAGAAACCUGGUAAAACAUAUCUUAUUCCAAACAACAGUUAAUUGGUUACUACAAAAUACUGAUAUUUGGCCUAUUACAUAUACAAAUUUUUCAGACAAAAUUGAUAAUUUUACUCUUUGCAUGCUUUUGUAUUUCCUGUAUAUUUGUGCAUACAACCCAUAGAAAAUGCACUUAGUGUAUUUAUAGGUGGUUCAUCUAAUGAAAAGGCUACAUGUAUGAUUGGAUCACUUGUUUAUUCUCUUGAGUUUCCCCUGCUUCAACACAGACUAUUAAAUUACUUGCUGUAGCCACUGUUUUUAAAUGUUAAAAAUCAAGCUUUCAAUUCAUAUACUUAUAGCCAAUGUGUGGCUUGUGGUUUUACAAUUGAUUAAAAAGUUUUCCUUUUUUUUUAGAUACUACUAGCCCUCAAAUUUUACAAUUACUUAAUGCUUUAUUAGAGGCAGGUUUUCUACUUGAAAUCAGUGAGUGAUUUCAGUGUGAAUGUCUGACAACUCACUGUCCUUUCAGUGCUCUGGCUCAGAGAACUAAACAAUACCAUAGACCCAGCUCUUUGAAAAUGGUAAUGGAGUUGAUAACACACCCUCACGAAAAGAGGAAGCUCCAUUUGCUUACUUUCAACGCCCAGCCUCACCCUGCCAACUCAGGGAUUUCUAAAUAAGGCUAAAUCUGGACCUUGUUUACAGGAUUUGACAUUUCUAAUUAAUGCUUAUGUUUAGGUAAAUAAAGCUGGUGAGGGGCUGGAGAGAUGGCUUAGUGGUUAAGAGCACUAAGUACUGUUCCUUUAUAGGCCAUUUAAAAACUCAAACUGUAUUGCCUGGACCCCUUAGCAAGGGAGGACAAUAAUACCAGGCAGAUUAUAGGCCUUACAUAGAAACAAUUAGUCAAAAAGUCUCAUUCUUUAUAUCAUCAAAACAAUAAUGCUGGAAACAAUAAUUUGGUAUACAAGUCAAUUUAUAAAUACAAGUGCUCAGUGUCCUCAAUUUAAUCCUCGAGGACUUAUCUUAAUAAAUAAUAUUUUAACAAUUUUAAUAAAUAAAAGGGGGAACUAUCCCUGAAUGCUAAUAAUGCUCGUUUUAUUUCAAUUAUAAAAUUUGGAUGCCAAGGUUUAUGGCACCCUACAACUAGGCAUACUUCUGCCUAGGUGAAAUAGAAAGACCCACAUAUUGGCAUGAUCCUGUCCAGGUAUUUUAUAUGGGGAAGAGGGAAUGUUUGUGUUUUUUCUACAGAAUGCUACAGGAGUGUGCCAGCUGCCUGAGAGUCUGGUGAGCCAUGCUGAUCCUGGGAGCAUGAAGAUUCAAUUCAGCUCUCGUGGUUCUGGUUCCUGGAGUCAUUCCUGUGCCCUUAGAGGAAGACGGAGGAUUCCCCCUCAUCUUUUGUCAUCACAGAAAUUCUGGCAUUGCUGCAGUCAUUGUGUCCUGUCCCAUCUCGGCCUGCCCUCCGACCCUCUGUGCACUGCUGCUUGCUGGAAGCUGCUGUGGACUGGGGAACUCUGCCCUGGUUCUGCAGAUCUCAGACAUGGUUCCAUUGCCUGCUGGUUGGUCCAGAGAAGAAUGACUGAUCCUGAACUGUCCUGGGAAAGACCUAGGCAUUUUCGCUGCUAUUGUGGCAGCCAUUACUGCUGCAGCCAUUGUGUCUGCAGUGUCUGGAGUUACCCUCCCCCAAUCUAUUGUUAGGCAAGCACAGUGGGUGAACUUUCUGGAGUAGUUGCUAACAAUUGGGAAUUCUAAAUUUUUAUUAUAGGAGCGGCUUGACUACGGCCCUUGGUGGUAGCAGCUGAGGAGAACCAGAUGAGGUGCCCACUACUUAUCGGGAGAGGCUCAACUUCCACAAUCUCUUAAAUUAAUGCCAUCUGGCUCCUACUCUUUCGCCCCUGGGCUCAAGUAAGAGGAAUGACAAGAUGAUCCAAUGUAGCUAUCCUCAGGGACAGGCAACUUCCUCUGACCCUUGACCAAUCUAAGGCAGGAACCUUGGGGGCGACAAGGUGAUCCUAUGACAGAUAAGGCUGGGGUUUGAGAGGUCGAUCCUAAGACAGAGGUGGCUACACCCCGUUUAAACGUACGGGCCGGUCAAAUGCUCCUCUGCCCAGUUUCUCCCCCAAUAAACACACACAUAUAGCCCAGAACGGUGUGUUACAGCAUAAGUUCAUUACUAGCCAUUGGGGUGCAGUCCUAACUGCAAGAGUGGCUCACCAUGGCCGAGCUGGGCACUCUGUGAGGCAUGUCUGAUCUCUCUCAGACCACUACCUCCACCUAAUGGUCUUUUAUAUAUAAAUAACGGGGGAGAUGUAGUGCCAUAUUGGAUUUGGGCCUGACUGCUUUGCAACUGCAUGGCCACAGUUAAGAAGUCAUGGGAUUGUUGGACAGAGGCCUCUCCCAUGUAUUUACGGCACAGGAAGAAAAGACCAAGUAGUAAACACCCGAUAUCUCCACUGCAUGACCUCUGCUGAGCCCGGCUGAUGCAUGUGGAACUGACACACCUGGACCACACCUGGGUGGUGGUCAACUUAUUUCUGCCUUUUACUUCCUCAGCCUUUAUCCUGGAGAUUUAGGCUGGUCUUCUGGGAUUUCUCCCUAAUUAAUUCAGGUCUCCUAGUUGGUCUUUUGUUACCAAAGUCACGAGCCAGGUAGUCACGAGCCAGGGUUUCCCACUGUGCUUCCCAGUUAUUUUCUACCUGGAGACUUGGGUAUAUAAGUGGUGAAUAAAGCUACAGGAGACUCUCACUAUUCCUCUCACUCUCACUAUUCCUCUCACUCUCACUCUUCCUUCCCAGCUUCCUCUCUCUCUCUCUCUCUCUCUCUCUCUCUCUCUCUCUCUCUCUCUUCCUCUCUUCCUCUCUUCCUCUCUUCCUCUCCUGGCUUGACACGAUAA